rnacentral:snoRNA from 1 species
UGGAGCAGUGAUGAGUCCUACAGACCUGUAAUGAUUUGCGGCAAUGAUCGCAACUCUUUAGAACAUCUAAGGGACUGAGUUCUU